rnacentral:rRNA from 1 species
GGGGAAUUUUCCGCAAUGGGCGAAAGCCUGACGGAGCAAGACCGCGUGGGGGAAGAAGGCUCUUGGGUUGUAAACCCCUUUUCUCUGGGAAGAAAGUUGUGAAAGCAACCUGACGGUACCAGAGGAAUCAGCAUCGGCUAACUCCGUGCCAGCAGCCGCGGUAAGACGGAGGAUGCAAGCGUUAUCCGGAAUGAUUGGGCGUAAAGCGUCCGCAGGUGGCAGUUCAAGUCUGCUGUCAAAGACCGGGGCUUAACCUCGGAAAGGCAGUGGAAACUGAACAGCUAGAGUAUGGUAGGGGCAAAGGGAAUUCCUGGUGUAGCGGUGAAAUGCGUAGAGAUCAGGAAGAACAUCGGUGGCGAAGGCGCUUUGCUGGACCAUAACUGACACUCAGAGACGAAAGCUAGGGGAGCGAAUGGGAUUAGAUACCCCAGUAGUCCUAGCCGUAAACGAUGGAUACUAGGUGUUGUCUGUAUCGACCCGGACAGUGCCGUAGCUAACGC